rnacentral:rRNA from 1 species
AGCGAACGCUGGCGGCAGGCCUAACACAUGCAAGCCGAGCGCCGUAGCAAUACGGAGCGGCAGACGGGAGAGUAACACGUGGGAACGUACCCUUUGGUUCGGAACAACCCAGGGAAACUUGGGCUAAUACCGGAUAAGCCCUCACGGGGGAAGAUUCAUCGCCGAAGGAUCGGCCCGCGUCUGAUUAGCUAGUUGGUGGGGUAAUGGCCCACCAAGGCGACGAUCAGUAGCUGGUCUGAGAGGAUGAUCAGCCUCACUGGGACUGAGACACGGCCCAGACUCCUACGGGAGGCAGCAGUGGGGAAUAUUGGACAAUGGGCGCAAGCCUGAUCCAGCCAUGCCGCGUGGGUGAUGAAGGCCCUAGGGUUGUAAAGCCCUUUCGGCGGGGAAGAUAAUGACGGUACCCGCAGAAGAAGCCCCGGCUAACUUCGUGCCAGCCGCCGCCGUAA